UUCUUUUCUUCUUCUCCCCGUAAACUGCCCACGAUUUUUCCCACGCCUAUGCAGUUAUUAUUUUUCUUUCCUUCCCCAUUUUCAAACCUCCCAACCAACCACUCUCCCUCUCUUUCUCUCUAAAGUGCAGACCUCCCGUAUCCUCUCUCUCUUGCGAUUUCAGUGAUUUUGGUGCACCUAGGUUUCGGCCACUGGAGUAAACCAAGAGUGUUUCCCCUCCAUCGAGCAGUGCCCCCCUCAUGUUUGUCAAUUUUUUUCAAAGAGCCUAACUUUGGUUUCGAUGAUGUUCUGUUCUAUUUUUGUUACGGCCCAGCCACGGAUAUAAUGGUAAUUUAUAACCCUACCACGGGGUGAGAUAUGGUAUA